AUGGCCGGCUCCGGCGGCUCUCCCGACGCCGACGAUCCCAAUUGCGGCGGAGCUGGGGCUGAGCCCUCCAGGACUCCUCAAGAAUCCGACGACCGCUACUCCGCGCCCGGCUCCCCUCUCAGCACUCGCCCGUCCGGUCAGCCCCCGGGGACUUCGGUCGUCGCCAACGAGGGCUCCGCCUCGUCCUCCGCCUGGGGAUCUGAUGACGAAGACGAGCCCGCAGGCAGGUACAAGAACCCCGCCGCCGCUUCCUUCCUCUCGGGACCGUCGAGCAGCACCAUGGGUGCGUCCUCCUCCGCCUCCUCCUUCUCCUCGGACAGCUGGAUCGGCAGCGACCGUACGUGCGGCGGCGCCUCGACCUCCAGCUCUCUGGACGCCUCCAACUACAGGGAUCUCUACAGGGAUCCACCCUCUGAGUGGAUGUAUAAUCAGAUUCUGGAAGCUCCGUUUUGGAGUCACGAGGCAUCUGAUGCUGUGAGGGCUUCUUGGAGAGACGAGUAUGAAGCUUGUGAUGAUUUUUCUAUGGUUUUGCAGACAUCACAAAAUGGCUGCAAAAAAAUUCUUCAAAAGGAACCUUUAUCAUCUCUACCGCAUGAGUUUGAAAACGAAAUUAUGAAAGAUAAGGCAAAAAAGCUUUCGGCUAAUUACUCUGAAUAUCGGAAGGUACCUGGAGACGGGAGUUGCUUUUACAGAUCGUUCAUAUACUCAUACCUGGAGCAGCUUGUGAAAGUAUCUCACUAG
rnacentral:rRNA from 1 species